rnacentral:rRNA from 1 species
ACUCCUACGGGAGGCAGCAGUAGGGAAUCUUCCACAAUGGGCGCAAGCCUGAUGGAGCAACACCGCGUGAGUGAAGAAGGGUUUCGGCUCGUAAAGCUCUGUUUGUUAAAGAAGAACACGUAUGAGAGUAACUGUUCAUACGUUGACGGUUAUUUAACCAGAAAGUCACGGUCUAACUACGUGCCAGCAGCCGCGGUAAUACGUAGGUGGCAAGCGUUAUCCGGAUUUAUUGGGCGUAAAGAGAGUGCAGGUCGGUUUUCUAAGUCUGAUGUGAAAGCCUUCGGCUUAACCGGAGAAGUGCAUCGGAAACUGGAUAACUUGAGUGCAGAAGAGGUAGUGGAACUCCAUGUGUAGCGGUGGAAUGCGUAGAUAUAUGGAACG